rnacentral:rRNA from 1 species
GACGUAGGGCGCGAGCGUUGUCCGGAUUUAUUGGGCGUAAAGCGCGCGCAGGCGGCUAUUUAAGUCUGGUGUUUAAACCUUGGGCUCAACCUGAGGUCGCACUGGAAACUGGGUGGCUUGAGUACAGAAGAGGAAAGUGGAAUUCCACGUGUAGCGGUGAAAUGCGUAGAUAUGUGGAGGAACACCAGUGGCGAAGGCGACUUUCUGGGCUGUAACUGACGCUGAGGCGCGAAAGCGUGGGGAGCAAACAGG